rnacentral:rRNA from 1 species
UACGUAGGGGGCAAGCGUUAUCCGGAUUUACUGGGUGUAAAGGGAGCGUAGACGGAAUAGCAAGUCUGAUGUGAAAACCCGGGGCUCAACUCCGGGAGUGCAUUGGAAACUGUUGAUCUAGAGUGUCGGAGAGGCAAGCGGAAUUCCUAGUGUAGCGGUGAAAUGCGUAGAUAUUAGGAGGAACACCAGUGGCGAAGGCGGCUUGCUGGACGAUGACUGACGUUGAGGCUCGAAAGCGUGGGGAGCAAACA